rnacentral:lncRNA from 1 species
UCUGCCGCCCUUGAAUCCCAUUUCCCCUCCAAUUCUCUCUGCAACAUCACUCAAACCCUAGCCACCGCCACCCAAAUCAACUAAUCCUUUUCUAUCAUCACUCGAACCAUGGACUCCCAGGGCUGUUUGAGACAUAUACCGCUCUCCUACGUCUAGGUGGUUGCCUAUUUUCGUGAUUUCACGGAAAGAUAUCAAAGAGAUCUAGCCUAGACCAUGCUCGACUUCUAUCCAUGGUCUCUUUCCGACCAUCCAUGGCCGUUCAAGUCAGAUCCAUGACUUUUCCGGCUAUAUCGGUAACUUUUCGAAGUUUUCUCACUUUUUCUGAGUUCUCUGAAACCCUAAAUUUUAAGACUUUCCCAUUUUUCUUUUAGAUCUGGGUAUGUUAUAAUCCUCUUGGUGUUUUUCUCAAAGGUUCCUCCGAUUUAUUUUUCAAAAAAAUGACUCUUCAUCUUCAAAGAUUAGGGUUUUCUUAAUCUCUUUUAAAAGACUUCUCCUCUUAUUUCGUUGUUUUCUUAUGAUUUUACUCUGUUUAAACAGUUUGUUCAUGUUUUCUACCUGGUUCAUGGUGUUGAAAUCCCUAAGUAUUUUGGUUCUAUCCGCGAAUCUAAAAUUGUCUUUAUUUAUUUUGUAUACUUGUUUCGACU